GUCCCGUAACGAGCGCAACCCUUGUCCUUAGUUACCAGCACCUCGGGUGGGCACUCUAAGGAGACUGCCGGUGACAAACCGGAGGAAGGUGGGGAUGACGUCAAGUCAUCAUGGCCCUUACGGCCAGGGCUACACACGUGCUACAAUGGUCGGUACAAAGGGUUGCCAAGCCGCGAGGUGGAGCUAAUCCCAUAAAACCGAUCGUAGUCCGGAUCGCAGUCUGCAACUCGACUGCGUGAAGUCGGAAUCGCUAGUAAUCGUGAAUCAGAAUGUCACGGUGAAUACGUUCCCGGGCCUUGUACACACCGCCCGUCACACCAUGGGAGUGGGUUGCUCCAGAAGUAGCUAGUCUAACCGCAAGGGGGACGGUUACCACGGAGUGAUUCAUGACUGGGGUGAAGUCGUAACAAGGUAGCCGUAGGGGAACCUGCGGAUGGAUCACCUCCUU
rnacentral:rRNA from 1 species